UGGAACCACAUGAUGGAAGGUUGACAUCAAAGGUGGGCCCAUAUAAAGAACAGCCCAUUUUGAAGGUUGGGCCCCACAUGAUGAAUGACCCACAAAACAUAUCAAAGGGGGUCCCACAUGAUGGAUGGCCCACAUCAAAAUGUGGCCUUGCAUGGUCCCACAUGAUGGGCGGUCCAUAGCAAAGAUGGGACCCACAUGAUAGAUGGUGGACAUCAAAGCUAGGCCUGCAUGAUGAAUGAACCAUAUUGAAGGUGGGGCCUUACAUGAUAAAAGGCCCACACAAUGCACAAUUCACAUCAAAGGUGGGCCCCACAUGAUGAAUGGUCCACAUCAAAGUGUAGCCUAGCAUGGACUAUCUGCUAGGACUAUCCAAAUCAAGUGGGCCCACGUGAUGAACGAUCCAUAUUGAAGGUGGGGCCCCACAUAAUGGAUGGUCCAUAUCAAGGUGAGCUCAUGUAAUGGACGGUCUACAACCAGGGUCUUGCAUGAACGAUGUUCUAUUUCCUAAGUGGCCCAACAUGAUGGAUGAUCUACAUAGAAGUUGCACCCCAUACGAUGGAUGGUGGACAUCAAAAGCUAGCCCCACAUGAUGGACACAUCAAAUGUGGACUCCACGUGAUGGGUAGUGGACUUUGAAGGGCCCCACGUAAAGGAAAAUUAUCAUUGGUGGCGGGGCCCACAUGAUGGAUGACCUACAUCAAGGUAGGCCCCACAUAAUGUAUGGUCCAUGUCAAAGGUCAGCCCGUAAUGAUGAAUGGUCCACAUCCAAGAUGGGCCUCACAUGAAGGUUCAGCCCACAUGAUGGACAAGUCCACUUUUUCCAAAUGAUGGACGAUUCACGUCCAAUGUCCAAUACAAUGGACACCCAAAUGUGUUAAAAUAUGAAGAUUGUAGCUAUCCAUUCUUUUGCCAUUUGGGGGAUGGUCCUUCUAUAGUGAGAUCCACCAAAACAACCAUUGAGAUUGCUCUUAUAAUGGAGUUGUAAUUGCUUCAAAAUGACAUCAACUAACAUGAACUACCCCUAAAAAAGCUCUUAUUUGCAAACGUGCUUAUUUUAAAUAAGAGCUUUUUUCGAUUUUGAAAAAGUGAUUUUACCAAACAAGCUUAUUUAAAACAAGAACUAGAAUUUUUUUAAAAAAAAAAGCUUAUUAAAGUAGCUCUUAUUUGAAAUGCUCUUAUUGAAUUAGAGUAGAGAUGCCAAAUGAGCCCUGAGUAUGAUGCUUAUACUGAAGUUUAUUUUUAUUUUUAGAAAGAAAAAAACCAUUUUAGAUCUUUUUCCCAGGGCAUGAGCAGCUGCUAUCCUGCAAACCUCUAUUUUGGUGGGAACAUGUCAUCUUGCAAUGAUUAUAAUGUUGUAAACAUAGUGCAGUCUAUUUCCUCAUUAACUAUUGUGUUGAAUAUAUAGUACAAAUGCUUUCCUGGUCAUAUUGUUCAGUACAUGUUGUUGACUGAUGCAUUCAAGAAUGCAUACGACUGUCCACAAUUUGGAUGAUUAUCAUGUUGUAGAAUUAAGGGUGGCAAUGGUCCGGGCACUCCACCUGGCCCACUGACCCGGGUUGGACCUAUUAACUUGGACCGCAGCCAGCCUGAUGAGCUCAACCCGGCUUUGGACCCAGGCGCCGCACCUGGCCCUCUGACUCAGCUUUGGACUCA